UGGGGAAUUUUGGACAAUGGGGGCAACCCUGAUCCAGCCAUCCCGCGUGUGCGAUGAAGGCCUUCGGGUUGUAAAGCACUUUUGGCAGGGAAGAAACAGCCUGGGCUAAUAUCCCGGGCGACUGACGGUACCUGCAGAAUAAGCACCGGCUAACUACGUGCCAGCAGCCGCGGUAAUACGUAGGGUGCAAGCGUUAAUCGGAAUUACUGGGCGUAAAGCGUGCGCAGGCGGUUCGGAAAGAAAGGUGUGAAAUCCCAGGGCUUAACCUGGGAACUGCACUUUUAACUACCGGGCUAGAGUACGUCAGAGGGGGGUAGAAUUCCACGUGUAGCAGUGAAAUGCGUAGAGAUGUGGAGGAAUACCGAUGGCGAAGGCAGCCCCCUGGGAUGAUACUGACGCUCAUGCACGAAAGCGUGGGGAGCAAACA
rnacentral:rRNA from 1 species